GUGAGAUAGAAUUAGCGUUUAGACAUGUGAUUUUACACUAAUUUCAUCUCAUGU
rnacentral:pre_miRNA from 1 species